UUGGAGGGCAAGUCUGGUGCCAGCAGCCGCGGUAAUUCCAGCUCCAAUAGCGUAUAUUAAAGUUGUUGCAGUUAAAAAGCUCGUAGUUGAAUUUCGGGGUUAGUAAGUUGGUCAUGCCUCCGGUAUGCACUGGCUUUACUGAUUCCUCCUUCUUGAUGAACUGUAAUGUCAUUAAUUUGGUGUUGCAGGGAAUCAGGACUGUUACUUUGAAAAGAUUAGAGUGUUUAAAGCAGGCAUACGCUUGAAUACAUUAGCAUGGAAUAAUGAAAUAGGACGUUUGAUCCUAUUUUGUUGGUUUCUAGGAUUGACGUAAUGAUUAAUAGGGAUAGUUGGGGGCAUUAGUAUUCAAUUGUCAGAGGUGAAAUUCUUGGAUUUAUUGAAGACUAACUACUGCGAAAGCAUUUGCCAAGGAUGUUUUCAUUAAUCAAGAACGAAAGUUAGGGGAUCGAAGACGAUCAGAUACCGUCGUAGUCUUAACCAUAAACUAUGCCGACUAGGGAUCGGAUGAUGUUAUUUUUAAUGACUCAUUCGGCGCCUUACGGGAAAC
rnacentral:rRNA from 1 species